UGGGGAAUUUUGCACAAUGGGGGAAACCCUGAUGCAGCGACGCCGCGUGAUUUAGAAGGCCUUCGGGUUGUAAAAAUCUUUUCUUUGGGAAGAAAAUGACAGUACCAUAGGAAUAAGGACCGGCUAAUUACGUGCCAGCAGCCGCGGUAAUACGUAAGGUCCGAGCGUUGUCCGGAAUCAUUGGGCGUAAAGGGUACGUAGGCGGGUAAGCAAGUUAGAAGUGAAAUCCUAUAGCUCAACUAUAGUAAGCUUUUAAAACUGAUCAUCUUGAGGUAUGGAAGGGAAAGUGGAAUUCCGAGUGUAGCGGUGAAAUGCGCAGAUAUUAGGAGGAAUACCGGUGGCGAAGGCGACUUUCUGGCCAUAACCUGACGCUGAGGUACGAAAGCGUGGGUAGCAAACAGG
rnacentral:rRNA from 1 species